CAGCAUUAUUCAAGAUUCUGGUCUAUAAAUAUAAAUAGAAAUCGAAAUUAAACCUGGUUUUAUUUUGCUAUUCAUUCUUCUCCUUCCUUUCAUCUUCGCUCUAACUUCUAACCCUAGAAAUCGAAGGUUGGUUUAUCAUCAUCAUCAUCACUUGGUUGGUGGUUCCCUUUUUCCAGUAUCCAAUCUUUGCUCGAUUAGACAAUGAGGAAAACCUUUGCUGCUGAACGCUCGGUGGUAAUAGAUGAAAACUUUGUUCUUCAAAACCCCCAAAAGAAAGAGAGUAUACCCAUUGAAGGUAUAUAUUAAUAUUAUUGUUAAAGAGGGCAAAAUGAUGUUUCACAAUCAUUCAACUUGCAUUGGACCCGUUGAAGAAAAUGCGUUUAUUGUACAGUGCAGAUCCUUAUCUUCCCCUGAAUGUAAUUCGUAAGGCGGACAUCACACACUCAGAUGCAGCCAGAUAUGGAGGAGGUACUGUACGGACUGGCAGGGCCGGCUCAACACAUGUGGACCUUAAAUCCCUCUAACGUCUACGUGAAUAUCAAGAAGAUGAGGAAUAUGAAGAAGCUCGCGAAAGAGCUUUCCAAGAAGAUGAGGAAUACGAAGUUCGCCAAGGAGUUUUCCAAAAAGAUGAGGAAUACGUCCAACGGACCUCAGCCUGAAGAGCAAGUCGUGAUUGAAAAUGACCAAGUCCAGGCUGAAGAGCUGGUCGUGAUUGAAAAUGACCAAGUCCAGCCUGAAGAGAAGGCUGAUAUUUCUGCUCCACACUUGAUUGAUAAUGACCAAGUCCAUCCUAGAAAGAAGGCUAGGGUUUCCUAUGAGGCAUUGGACCUAGAGGGAGCAUAUAUGCACUCACGAGGAAGAGAAGGCCUGUUUGGUGGACUGAUUACAAUUAAGUCAUUUUCUUAUGACAUCUUUGCAGAUGUAUUGAAGCAAUCUUCUAGAAUUCUGUUAGUAGAUUCAACUCUCCUUUCCAAGUGAGACAUUGAUUCCCAUUGCUUCAAGCAAGAAAGAUAGCCUCCUGAGUAGUAGAAUAGUUCUAAAAAAUUAGAUUAAGUAUGUUUAUGUAAAGUUGGUUCAAGACGUUUAUGUGAAAUUUGAUAUUGAGUUCUGUGGACAAUUUGAUUUAUUUGAGUGUUAUAAAACUUGACAGGUGGUGUAUCUUGGAAUUAUGGGGUAAAGUCAUGUUUACAAAACA